ensembl:lncRNA
GUGAGGACGCAGAGAAAACGUCUGCGCCCUGGAACUUCGCCAGUGGGGUGUGAGUUGGUGGGCCCUGGCGACAGUACGGAGGCGACAGAACCCUCUCCCACUUCGGCAAAUCCCACUCCUGGGCGUCCACCUAAAGCAAACUCACCAGUUUUGAAAGACAUUUCAAAGGACAUGCAUCCUUCCACUCCCUGCAGCAUUACCCGCAACAGUCAAGAUGUGGAAGCAAGCGUCUGUCAACAGAUAAGUGGGUGAAGAAGUGGACGGGUGCACAGUGGACUGCUACAAGGCCGUACAGCGGCUUCCGCAGUGGACCGGCUGUUUGGAUUCUGUACUCCCAACGCAGGAGGCCCGGGUUAGAUCCCUGCUCAGGGAAUCAGGCCCCAUGUGCUGCAACUGACUAAAUAAAUAUUUUUUAAAAAGAAUGAAACGUUGCCAUUUCCAACAGCAGGCUGGACCUGGAGGGUAUUAUCCUACGUUAGACAAGUCAGAGAAAAACCAGUAGUGUAUGAUAUCACACGUGGAAUCUAAAAAAACAAAAACAAUGACACCCAAAUGAGCAAACAUGAAGCAGAAAUAGGGCUGCAGAUACAGAGAAGCAGCAGGUGGCGAGCUGAGGAGAGGGCGCCGGUCGGAGCCGCACAACACACUUAGCAGGAGGCUGUGGUGUGCACGCUCAGCAUGACGAACGCGGCGGCAGGCCACAUAGAGAAGGCGGCAGCACGGUCAGCUCUGGGCUCCCUGGUGCUCAGCGGUAAGGAAUCCACCUGCCGGCGCUGGAGACACAGGUCAGUCCCCGAUCUGGGAAGAGCCCACAUGCAGCAGAGCAACCAGGCCCGUGCACCAGCCGCUGAGCCCGGGAGCCCACGCUCUGCACAAGAGGAUCCGCCGCAGUGAGAGGCUGAGCCCGACAACUAGCGCAAAGCCCCACUCUCCCCAACCAGAAAAACCUCGGCACAGCAACAACGACCCAGCACAGCCAAAAAUAAACCUUAGACAGAGCGAAGUCUCGAGUGCCCAUCACCAGGAUCCAUCAGUCCCGGCGCUCCCACCCCCAGCAGCAGAUGGCGAGUGUUUCCAACAUCGAGGCGUGGAGGCCCAGCAGAACCUGAACAGGCUGGGGAGGGCGGCGGGGGCAGGCGCGGCCUGGUCCUGCCCCGUGGGCGUUGGCGCCCCCCAGGAGAGCAGAGGCCAGGAGAGGGUCUGCUCCUGCCCAGGACGCGGCUGCUCGUCUGAUGGGGGCCGGGGGAGCAGACGUCUGUCCUGACAAAGGACGAAGCUGUAAAUGCUGCAGAGACGGACGGACGGACGGACGGACGCAGAGCCCCCGGCUCCCCACCCCUGGCAGCAUGUCCGCUUGUCGAGCGCAGGGACCGUGUGGCCCUGUGCUCCUUGCGGUCCCCAGCCCUCACUGCAGGGGCUCGACCGGCAGACGGAGGGCUGUCCCUUCCUGCCUCGCGCCCACCUGAGCCCAGAGCCCAUCUGAUGGGGGUCCUUUCCAGCACCCCUGCUCUCUGUGCCUUAGGCUCCUCUUUCCUUAGGAAACAAAACCUCAAGUCUCUCCUGUUAAAAUGAAACAAAGCAAAGCAAAAAGAAACCACCUGUUUCCCAGCCCGUCUCCCUUUCUAGCUGUGUCUCUGCUUUUCACUCUUUUUCCCCCACCUAGUUCUCCUUAAAACUCACACGUCUGGUUCCAGCUCACUAGGACAGCAGUGAUUUUCUGAUUGCAAAAUUCUAGGAAAACUUUUCAGCGCAGAUGAUGGGAGGUGAUCGGACAGAGGGGAGAACAGGUGGGGGCCGGGGGGUGGGUUG